GAGCCCUCACAUCCUUCAUGAGAAUGGCCCAUCGGCCCUUCAAAGGCAGGCCGAUGGGCCAUUUUGAUGAAUGAUAUGAGGGUUC